CACGUAGGGGGCGAGCGUUGUCCGGAUUUAUUGGGCGUAAAGAGCUCGUAGGCGGCUCGGUAAGUCGGGUGUGAAAUUUCGAGGCUCAACCUCGAAACGCCACCCGAUACUGCUGUGGCUAGAGUCCGGUAGGGGAGCGUGGAAUUCCUGGUGUAGCGGUGAAAUGCGCAGAUAUCAGGAGGAACACCGGUGGCGAAGGCGGAUCUCUGGGCCUUACCUGACGCUGAGGCGCGAAAGCUAGGGGAGCGAACAGG
rnacentral:rRNA from 1 species